UCCGUAGGAUCCAGUCGUUGUCCGGAAUUACUGGGUGUAAAGGGUGCGCAGGCGGACUUGUGCGUCAGAGGUUAAAUACCCCGGCUCAACCGGGGAAAUGCCUUUGAAACGGCAGGUCUUGAGUGCGAGAGAGGAUGGUAGAAUUCCUGGUGUAGCGGUGAAAUGCGUAGAUAUCAGGAGGAAUACCAGUGGCGAAGGCGGCCAUCUGGCUCGCAACUGACGCUCAGGCACGAAAGCGUGGGGAGAAAACAGG
rnacentral:rRNA from 1 species